AAACAACCUAAUGUGAUUUUUUAUAUGGAGAAAAUACGAAGACUUACACAAAACCCAUUCAAACAUAGUGUAUUUAUUUUUGCUUAUGAUAUUUUAAAUUUAUUGUAAGCUAACGUUCCGAUUGAAAUUGCAGGUUCUGUGGUACCCUCUAGUGGCGACACAGCAAACUUCAGUCGACAUUUUCUUAGAGUUGAGCGGCCUACGAACGGCACACAUGCAGAACCACGGUUCACCGUGGGAACACAGUGAUAAUAAAGGCCUGGUGAUGAGACUCUAUGCUGCCAAUAAAUCAAGGUGUGUAACUGUAGCUGUGACGGCAUAGAAAAGGACUUCAGCUGCUCUGGAUAACCCAGACCACACGGCACGGAGGGAUAUUUAUAGUUUGACACAUGCAGCUGAAGUCUGCUGCUUUCUGCGUGUGUAUCCUUGCCUUGGGUGUGGACAUUGGGUGACUGUGACCCAGACGGCGGGAGAGACACUGUGUCCUGGCAACGGAAGGGGAUGGAGCGGGACCCAGAGCUGUGAAAGACCAGCAUCAGCGAGGCGUGACAGUAAGAUCGGAGCUGCUGUUAUUUAGGCACCGCGGUCGAUGAGUGACGGGGUCAGGCGGAAGGUGUCAGAAUUCAUGGCCACGCCAACCCAAACACCUGUGGGCCCCCCCCACAGCACAGCGGCAGAAUACGGCACGUUCCCAUCAGAGCGAGUAUGAGAACAUGGAGAACAUGUUGUAAUGGGUGAUGGCGCCAUGUGCCAAAGCCAGUGACGCUUUUCCGGAGUGAAAUGAACUGGGCCACACCCACACACGCCCCCCCCUGCUUCCAGUGGAAGGUGCUUCUUGGAUUUCAGACUCUGUCUUUGAUUUCAGCGUCAGUCAGGAACCGCUAUUGAGUGACAGGGCGGCGGCGGACAACUGAUCCUUUUUUCAGCUGGUGCAGUAAGAGUGUCCCUCAUGUCAGACAUCGAUGGCGUCCCUAAAAACAUUCCUAUAUUGCCCAGAGGUCAAAAAGGCGUGUGGCAGUUGGUGCGAGAAGAGGGGAGAGACCAAGACAAUCCGGGCGCUUUCCUGAAAGUGAGAGUUGGGGGUAGAAACUUAUAUGUUGGGGCGGGGCUUACGUGGUGUGGGCGGAGCCUCAGUGGCAUGGGCGGAGCCUUCAUGAAGGCUGGGUUGUGUCCAAGUGUGGACACAGCCACAGUCGGUCCAUCCUUUCAGUUUCAGCUAUGGGUUUCGCUGCAUAAUACUGGCACCAGUCCCAUAGGGUUCGUGGCUUCUUAGUAUGGCCUGUACAAUAACUGUAGGACCCCACAAUGGAGCAGGAUGCCAUUUUAAGGGAAUGCUUAACACCCCCGAUACCUGGUUUUUGGGUCUCCGGGGAACAGCAGGGAUCCCUAGGAGGGUCUGUGGCUCCAUAUCUCUGUCUCCUCAAAAGAUCAUCUGAACUCAGAGUCUGUUGUGACAGAGAGAGAUGCUUCUUUCAUCAAAGAUGUCUUGAAACUUCAAAGAGAUGAGCGUCUCACACAGAAGCUGAACUCUGGAUGAACCCUGUGUGCUUAGCUGGCAAAGAAAAAUAAACAUUCAGACAUUGACAGAGAGGUGUGUGUAUGGUGUGGUGAGAAG